rnacentral:rRNA from 1 species
UACGUAGGGAGCAAGCGUUGUCCGGAAUCAUUGGGCGUAAAGCGCGCGUAGGUGGCUUCGUAAGUCCGUUGUGAAAGUCAAAGGCUCAACCUUUGAAAGCCGAUGGAUACUGCGGAGCUAGAGUACGGAAGAGGCGAGUGGAAUUCCUGGUGUAGCGGUGGAAUGCGCAGAUAUCAGGAGGAACACCAAUAGCGAAGGCAGCUCGCUGGGACGUUACUGACACUGAGGCGCGAAAGCUAGGGUAGCGAACGGG